rnacentral:rRNA from 1 species
UUUAUGGAGAGUUUGAUCCUGGCUCAGAGUGAACGCUGGCGGCGUGCCUAAUACAUGCAAGUCGAACGAUGAAGCUUUUAGCUUGCUAAAAGUGGAUUAGUGGCGCACGGGUGAGUAAUGCAUAGAUAACAUGCCCUUUAGUCUGGGAUAGCCACUGGAAACGGUGAUUAAUACUAGAUACUCCCUACGGGGGAAAGAAUUUCGCUAAAGGAUUGGUCUAUGUCCUAUCAGCUUGUUGGUGAGGUAAUGGCUCACCAAGGCUAUGACGGGUAUCCGGCCUGAGAGGGUGAACGGACACACUGGAACUGAGACACGGUCCAGACUCCUACGGGAGGCAGCAGUAGGGAAUAUUGCUCAAUGGGGGAAACCCUGAAGCAGCAACGCCGCGUGGAGGAUGAAGGUUUUCGGAUUGUAAACUCCUUUUGUUAGAGAAGAUAAUGACGGUAUCUAACGAAUAAGCACCGGCUAACUCCGUGCCAGCAGCCGCGGUAAUACGGAGGGUGCAAGCGUUACUCGGAAUCACUGGGCGUAAAGAGCGCGUAGGCGGAGUAGCAAGUCAGAUGUGAAAUCCUAUGGCUUAACCAUAGAACUGCAUUUGAAACUGCUAUUCUAGAGUAUGGGAGAGGUAGGUGGAAUUCUUGGUGUAGGGGUAAAAUCCGUAGAGAUCAAGAGGAAUACUCAUUGCGAAGGCGACCUGCUAGAACAUUACUGACGCUGAUGCGCGAAAGCGUGGGGAGCAAACAGGAUUAGAUACCCUGGUAGUCCACGCCCUAAACGAUGAAUGCUAGUUGUUGUGGAGCUUGUCUCUGCAGUAAUGCAGCUAACGCAUUAAGCAUUCCGCCUGGGGAGUACGGUCGCAAGAUUAAAACUCAAAGGAAUAGACGGGGACCCGCACAAGCGGUGGAGCAUGUGGUUUAAUUCGAAGAUACGCGAAGAACCUUACCUAGGCUUGACAUUGAUAGAAUCUGCUAGAGAUAGCGGAGUGCCACUUUUGUGGAGCUUGAAAACAGGUGCUGCACGGCUGUCGUCAGCUCGUGUCGUGAGAUGUUGGGUUAAGUCCCGCAACGAGCGCAACCCUCGUCCUUAGUUGCUAACUAUUUAGUAGAGCACUCUAAGGAGACUGCCUUCGCAAGGAGGAGGAAGGUGAGGAUGACGUCAAGUCAUCAUGGCCCUUACGCCUAGGGCUACACACGUGCUACAAUGGUAUGCACAAAGAGACGCAAUACCGCGAGGUGGAGCAAAUCUAUAAAACAUAUCUCAGUUCGGAUUGUAGUCUGCAACUCGACUACAUGAAGCUGGAAUCGCUAGUAAUCGCAAAUCAGCCAUGUUGCGGUGAAUACGUUCCCGGGUCUUGUACUCACCGCCCGUCACACCAUGGGAGUUGUAUUCGCCUUAAGUCGGAAUGCCAAACUGGCUACCGCCCACGGCGGAUGCAGCGACUGGGGUGAAGUCGUAACAAGGUAACCGUAGGUGAACCUGCGGUUGGAUCACCUCCUUU